AUAGAAUUUGCCCCUGUGUGCUUAUUAUUUUCCUGGAAACUCCACUGAUUUGUCAGCCAGAAAACUGAAUAUCAGAAGGCUCAGUAUAUACUGCAGGUGGGAGGGGCACUCUCCUUUUGAGAUGUUUCACAUUUCAUUGUGUGCGGCCUACAUUGCAGAAUAAAUGUUUCCUGAAAUAUCUAAAGUCUCACAGCCUCUUGCUGUGCAGGUGAUGUGAUGACAUCUGGUCCCAAACUUCUGUAAAGUAUCUUUCUGAACAUCUGAUCUUCUUCAAGUAGAGGAUGGACCAGUGGUAAUCACUGAGUCUGAGAAUCCUGAAAGGAGUUAGAACCCCAGGUCUGGAUGCACAACACUGGUUCUGAGACUGAAUCUAAGACAAAUCAGUGUUUUUGAGAAUUUUCCAAGGUGCUUGUCCAAGGUUCAGGAAGUAAGGUUGGACUGUGAAAAUCAAAAUCAAGUCUGUCAAUUGCUUGUGCCUAACUAAAUUGGCUCCUCAGACAUUUGUUAAUUGCACUGUUAAGUGCAUUUGCCCAGAGAAGAUGUCAUCAGGCCAAGAGCUUAUUGGUAAUAGGGCAGGACUGGAACUCAGGUAUCUCACUUAUGGCCUCAUUGGGGAGCUCUUUGCUAACUUGAUGGCAAGUCCAUCACCCCAGACACUUUCACACCUCCACCCCCCUCCUCUCACCCACAAUUAGAAUCCCUAUCUCAGACUGAGGAAGUAUUUCCGGCCCCCUCUCUCUCCCUUUCAUUUUUAUUUUUAUUUUUAUUUUUUAUUAGUGAUUUAGGAAGUAUUUCCUCUUAUGACUCAACUUUGGCCCCUGUAUCACUUAUCUGUUUGUUUUGUUUUCUUCUUUUGUUUUGAGUUAUCUACCUUCAACAUUGCAUAUGGUACAGAAAACCUGAACACCAGUAAUUCAACAAGGAAGCAAGUGAACAAGAUCAUUAUUCACCCACUUUUUGACAGUUGGCUCUUUGAUAGUGAUAUUGCUUUGAUCUUGCUCAAAACCCCAAUUCACUUCAAUGCCAAAAAUGCUCCUGUCUGUCUCUCGGAGGUCACUAACAUAGAAAAGUGGGGAAGCUGCUCUGUGGCUGGAUGGGGCAUCAUGGUCCCCAUGCAGAAUACAGAGCUGAUAAAAGUUGACAUCAAGCUGGUCAAAUGGGAAUUCUGCUCCAAUGUUGUGCCCUUGCUCACCAAGAACAUGCUGUGUGCUGGGGACCUUCAGGGUAGGAAGGAUGCCUGCCAGGCAGAGAGAUCAAAAUGGGAUGACUGGAAAUGGAUUUGUACUGAAAAAGUGGAGCAGGGGCCGUGGCAAAUUUUUUGGAAAAAAAGGUGAUUUGAAGCAAACCGGAUUAGAACGAUCACUCUUCAAUAUAAACAACAGUGACACUGGAUGAUGACAAUGCUAGUGGUGCUGACCAAGGGUGACAGUGGAGGCCCUUUGAUUUGCCAUAAAACAAACAACACAAGCAUAUGGUACCAGCUAGGCAUUGUCAGCUGGGGAGUGGGCUGUGGCCGGAAGAGACUGCCUGGAGUGUACACGAAUGUGUCUAAUUAUCUGUCAUGGAUCAACAAGGAGACCACACUGUCAGGAAAGCCCUAUAAACAUGAGCCAGACUCCAGGUGCACUUUUCUUCUAUCAUCCUGGGCCGUCUUGCUACUGUCCUUUGUGAUGCUUCUGCUAUUCCUGUGAUUAAACACUGUAUCAUCUCAAAA